UUUUCAUACGACCGCAAAAAUUUUAAUUUUUCGUCGUAUAUUGCUAUCACGUUGGCGUCGUCGUCUGCGUCUGCGUCGUCGUCGUCGUCCGAAUACUUUUAGUUUUCGCACUCUAACUUUAGUAAAAGUGAAUAGAAAUCUAUGAAAUUUUAACACAAGGUUUAUGACCAUAAAAGGAAGGUUGGGAUUGAUUUUGGGAGUUUUGGUCCCAACGUUUUAGGAAUUAGGGGCCAAAAAGGGCCCAAAUAAGCAUUUUCUUGGUUUUCGCACUAUAACUUUAGUUUAAGUAAAUAGAAAUCUAUGAAAUUUUGACACAAGGUUUAUGACCACAAAAGGAAGGUUGGGAUUGAUUUUGGGUGUUUUGGUUCCAACAGUUUAGGAAUUAGGGGCCAAAAAAGGGCCCAAAUAAGCAUUAUUCUUGGUUUUCGCACAAUAACUUUAGUAUAAGUAAAUAAAAAUCAAUGAAAAUAAAACACAAGGUUUAUGACCACAAAAGGAAGGUUGGGAUUGAUUUUGGGAGUUGAGGUCCCAACAGUUUAGGAAUAAGGGGCCAAAAAGGGGCCCAAAUAAGCAUUAUUCUUGGUUUUCGCACCAUAACUUUAGUAUAAGUAAAUAGAAAUCUAUGAAAUUUUAAACACAAGGUUUGUGACCAUAAAAGGAAGGUUGGGUUUAAUUUUAGGAGUUUUGGUCCCAACAGUUUAGGAAUAAGAGGCCCAAAGGGUCCAAAAUUGAACUUUGUUUGAUUUCAUCAAAAAUUGAAUAAUUGGGGUUCUUUGAUUUGCCGAAUCUAACUGUGUAUGUAGAUUCUUAAUUUUUGGUCCCGUUUUCAAAUUGGUCUACAUUAAGGUCCAAAGGGUCCAAAAUUAAACUUAGUUUGAUUUUAACAAAAAUUGAAUCCUUGGGUUCUUUGAUAUGCUGAAUCUAAAAAUGUACUUAGAUUUUUUGAUUAUUAGCCCAGUUUUCAAGUUGGUCCAAAUCGGGGUCCAAAAUUAAACUUUGUUUGAUUUCAUCAAAAAUUGAAUAAUUGGGGUUCUUUGAUAUGCCAAAUCUUACUGCGUAUGUAGAUUCUUAAUUUUUGGUCCCGUUUUCAAAUUGGUCUACAUUAAAGUCAAAAGGGUCCAAAAUUAAACUAAGUUUGAUUUUAACAAAAAUUGAAUUCUUGGGCUUUUUUGAUAUGCUGAAUCUAAACAUGUACUUAGAUUUUUUAUUAUGGGCCCAGUUUUCAAGUUGGUUCAAAUCAGGAUCCAAAAUUAUUAUAUUAAGUAUUGUGCAAUAGCAAGAAAUUUUCAAUUGCACAGUAUUCAGCAAUAGCAAGAAAUCUUCAAUUGCACAGUAUUGUGCAAUAACAAGAAAUUUUCAAUUGCACAGUAUUGCGCAAUAGCAAGAAAUCUUCAAUUGCACAGUAUUGUGCAAUAGCAAAUAUUUUCAAUUGCACAGUAUUGCGCAAUAGCAAGAAAUAUCUAAUUGCACAAUAUUGUGCAAUAGCAAGAA
rnacentral:lncRNA from 1 species